UCUAGUGAUGAUGGCAUAGUGGAUACACCUGUUCCCAUACCGAACACAGUAGUUAAGCACUAUAACGCCGAUGGUAGUACAUUUAGUUGUGCGAGAGUAGGAAGUUGCUAGGC
rnacentral:rRNA from 1 species